GGAAAAUGAAAAUGUAAACAACUUCGUGGCAAGUUUAAGAGACAUUGGGGGUGCAUGUGAAUUUAACAGUUUAGAAGAGGCCAUGCACGAUCGAUUUGUUCUGGGCCUUAAAGACAAGGUAUUGCAGAGCAAGUUAUUAAUGAAACCUAAGAUCAUGCUAAAAGAAGCCAUAGAAGAAGCCUCUUCAGAAGCUACCAAGUCCUCAGCAGCAGCCAUGAGGAAGAUGAACAGGGCCACAAACCAUUCUGAUGGGGAAAAGUCUACCACAAACCAUUGUGAUGACAUAGAUUCUGAAUCAGAUUGCAGUGAGGUGGAAGAGGGAAUUUACAGACUCAGAAUGGAGCGGAAAAAGAAAGACCUGGAUAGGAAGAGGCAAGAUUUCUACUGCAGAGGUUGUGGGGGAAGCCACCUCCGAACUGAAUGCAAGUUUUUAGACACCAUUUGCCUCCGUUGUGAAAAAAGAGGACACCUAGCAAGAGUCUGCAAAUCAUCCAGAACUCCACCCAACAGAAGGAAAUUACAUGCAAACAAAGACAAAGAAUUCAAGCCCAACAAUCUCAGUGGGAACAUGGGGCGCAGCACAGAAGCAAAGAGGAAGAAUGAAACUCAUCAGACAGUAACUAUCGGUCAUUCAUCUUCUAUCAAUAACAGAAAAGUCCAUGUCAAGGUACUUAUUGAAGGAAGGCCUUGCCAAAUGGAAGUGGACUCAGGCUCAUAUCUGUCUAUGGUGUCAUGGGACGCUAUCCACAGACUACUCCCAAACAUUCAGAAGAAGGAUUUCAAGAAGCAAGCACUGACUCUUAAAGACUACCAAGGGAACAAGAUUCCAGUAGUUGGAACAAGAGAAUUCAAUGUGAAGUUCAAAGGCCACACCAAACGCUUGCCCCUGACCAUCGUGGACAAGGAUCGCCCAAGUUUGCUGGGACUUGAGUGGUUCAAUCCACUAGGCAUCGAGGUGACUGGCAUCAAUCACAUGAGCAACACUGAAUGGGAGGAGGCCUUGAAGUCUGAGUUUCCAGAGGUCUUCAGCGACGGAUUAGGCAAGUACUUGGGGACCCCUAUCACUUUCAGUCUAGAUCCCAAGGUGCCACCAAUCCGUUUAAAGCCCAGAAGGGUCCCAUUUGCCUUAAAGGAAAAAAUUGAUGCACAAUUAGAUAAACUAAUAGCUCAAGGGGUUUUAGAGCCCACUGACCACUCCAGGUGGGAGACACCCAUAGUCAUACCAGUCAAGGCUGAUGGGACUCUGAGAAUCUGCGGAGACUAUAAGGGGGCAUUGAACCAUGCGCUACAACAGAGCGCAUAUCCAGUUCCAGUGGUGCAUCAUUUAUUACAUCCUGUUGGUGGGGGCACAUUCUUUGCCAAAUUGGAUCUGGCCCAGGCAUAUCAACAGUUAACAGUUGAUGAUGCCACUGCAGAGGCCAAAACCAUUGUGGCUCAUAGAGGUGCUUUCAAAUGCAAAAGGUUGCAAUUUGGAGUAAGUGUGGCACCAGGCAUCUUCCAAAGAAUGCUCCAAGGACUGCCAGGGGUAGUGCCUUAUUUUGAUGAUGUGUUAAUCUCUGCUGAAAAUGACACUCAGUUACACGAGAGAAGUCCUAACCAGAUUCAAGAAAGCGGGGUUAAAAGUCAAAGAAGAAAAAUGCACACUUAGAACUGACAAGGUAGAGUUCUGGGGCUAUAUGAUUGACAAACAUGGUAUCCACCCCACAGAAGCCAAGGUUCAGGCAAUCAAAGAAGCCCCCAGGCCAAAAUGCAAAACAGACUUGCAAGCUUUCCUGGGACUCAUUAACUUCUAUCACAUGUUUCUACCUCAGAAGGCAACCAUUGCAGAACCACUAUACAGAUUACUAGACAAAAAGUCUGCAUGGGUCUGGGGCAGAAAAGAACAAGCUGCCUUUAAC
ensembl:lncRNA